UGAAAUCUCACCAGGCCCGGACACUGGAAGGAUUGACAGAUUUAUAGCUCUUUCUUGAUUCGGUGCGUGAUGGUGCAUGGCCGUUCUUAGUUGGUUGAGUGAUUUGUCUUGUUAAUUCCGUUAACGAACGAGACCUUAACCUGCUAAAUAGUGACGCGGUUCAUCGAACCGUGGGCCACUUCUUAGAGGGACUAUCGGAUUCAAACCGAUGGAAGUGUGAGGCAAUAA
rnacentral:rRNA from 1 species